rnacentral:rRNA from 1 species
UACAGAGGUCCCAAGCGUUGUUCGGAUUCAUUGGGCGUAAAGGGUGCGUAGGCGGCGCGAUAAGUCGGGUGUGAAAUCUCGGAGCUUAACUCCGAAACUGCAUUCGAUACUGCCGUGCUUGAGGACUGGAGAGGAGACUGGAAUUUACGGUGUAGCGGUGAAAUGCGUAGAUAUCGUAAGGAAGACCAGUGGCGAAGGCGGGUCUCUGGACAGUUCCUGACGCUGAGGCACGAAGGCCAGGGGAGCAAACGGG